AAUCGCGGAAACUUUGUCCGCCAUUACCUCCGACAACACACAGAUGUCGGAGGUGCGAGAUGACAUCGUUUAAUGCAACAUAUCCGCUGUGCAACGAAAAAUUGUGAGGUCCUAUGCAUGGGAUAGAUGUAAUAAUGAUACGAGGUACCCGGAAAGAAUACACAAGCAUUUAUGGGCCAUGAAAUACUGACUGUAUACAGCAAGGCCCAGUUCCCCCAGAUGGGUCACAGUCAUCAAGAAAGGCUUCUUUGGAAUUAUCGAGACGAGUGGAUCAAUGAUGGAGCACACAAGGAAACAGAAAACAAUCUUCACCCGUGUGUCAUAACAGACUGUCCAAAUGAAUUGUCAACAGGCUACAUGAAUCUUUAGAUUAAUUUUACCAUGUUUUAGAACUACAACAAAAAACAGAAAGAACCUAUAGAACAGACAAAGUAAUCAUCUACAACUCCACGUAGCAGCAGGAGAAAAACAAGGCCCACUUGUUGUGAAGAAAACAGAAAAAAAAAAUGUAUAUGUCAAUGAUGUAUGUAUUAUUUAUACCAACAUGAAACAUUAUUGAAAAUUUAUUAGAUUUUUUGACAUCAAAACAAUGCAACUGUAAGUAGAAAAAAGGGGCAAUACAAAUGACAAAAGAAUUGUCUCGGUCACUUUAGGUAUAUUUUGUGUAAAUAGUCCAUAAUUGUAUAUCAACACUGAUUAGGCUAAGGCACAAUUUGGGAAUAAAUGUGUAGCAUCAAUGUCUGGUGUGUCAGUGAUUGACUAUGUGCAUGUGUUGACCUUAUGCAUGUUACACAUAUGUUAUGUUUAAAGAUGAGUGAUUGACUUUCAUUGACUUCACUAAUUUCAGGAGAAACAGACUUUUCACUUAUCUAAUGAACUCCAUUAGCAUAAUACAUGUUUGUUUAUGUAAUCUCAUGGUAUCCACAAUGUGCUGAAUAGCAUAAACAAGUGUAUAGUUCAUAAAGGUGAUGAAUAACACGAAUAACAUGAAAUGUGUAGCACUGUCAAACAUGUAGAUGAAAUUCCCAAAAAUAUAUGUCAUACUGAUAUAAGUAAAUUAUUUAUACAGUGAUGUGAUCAUACAAUGAGAAACAACUGAUAAAAAUUAAAUAUUCAAACAUCUAACCCUAUAAAUGUAUAUCACUGCCUAGGGAAAUUUGAUAGAAGAAAACUAAUACUUUUUUUUGAAUUUGACAUGAACGAUUUUAUUAUUACUUAUAUAUGAAAUGUACAAUAUCAUUAAACUUUCUGUAUACCUGAA